rfam:Chryseobacterium gambrini strain DSM 18014 genome assembly, contig: Ga0111674_104
UCCUAGCCCCGAUAGGAACUACAUCCUUUUUUGUUGCGGCUGGAGCAUAAACUGAAGGUUUACGGACGUAGUUCAGGAAGCCGUAACAAAAAAGAUACAGUGGAUAGCGGGAAUAAGC